UACAGAGGGUGCAAGCGUUGCUCGGAAUUAUUGGGCGUAAAGGGUAGGUAGGUGGUCUCAUUUGUCUGGGGUGAAAUCCUUGGGCUUAACCCAAGAAGUGCCCCAGAAACGGUGAGACUGGAGUCCUGGAGAGGGUCGUGGAAUUCCCGGUGUAGCGGUGAAAUGCGUAGAGAUCGGGAGGAACGCCCGUGGCGAAAGCGAGGUCCUGGACGUCUACUGACGCUGAGACGCGAAAGCUAGGGGAGCAAACGGG
rnacentral:rRNA from 1 species